CCAGGUACCCUAUUAAUAUGAUUUUAAUUAAAAGUUUUAUAUUAUAAAGUAGAAAGCCAACUAAAAAAUACUUUGUGAAAUUGAAAUACAUUUCAUACUUAAUACAGAUUAAAUGGUUUGUAUCUACCCCUUCCCCACUUUAGUUGUAAAAAUGUUACUGUAAAAUUACAUUUCAGUUUUAAAAAUCUGAACAAGGUAUAUAUGUUUACUGGAGCAGCCUCCCUUUAAAAUACAAAAUAAGAGGACACCUGGGUGGCUCAGUCAUAAGUGGUUGCCUUUGGCUCUGGUUAUGAUCUCAGGGUCCUUGGAUGGAGCACCACAUCGAGCUCCCCACUCUGCUGGAAGCCUGCUUCCCC